CCACUCGCUGCAACUAGAGAAAGCCCGCGCACAGCAACAAAGACCCAGUGCAGCCAAAAAUAAUUAAUUAGAAAAAAAAAUGUUGGGUUGGAGCAGGGUCUGUUCAAUUUCUCAGUCCCCAGGAGCAGCCACAGAAAAUGCAAGCAGCCUCCUUCAGUUCAGCCUCCAGCUCCCAGAGAAUGCAGCCGUAUCCAUACAGCGCCAUCUUAGGAGGACAGAAGCACACGGACUUUCCCUGAACCAAAACUGGGACCUCUGGCAGCUGAAGACAGAGAUGGUCAUAGCGAAGCCAAUCCAGGCUGGGCGCUGGUAGGGGUCCUCCAUGAGUGCCGAAAUCACCACCACCUGGGAGGAGGGGCGGGGACAAAUCCACGAAGGAGCUCCAGCCUAGGACCCUUCACUGGCCCACCCUCCCCAGGUACAGGUAGGCCUGAGGGUGGGGGCUCGGGCUCUCCCACCCUCACCGUCACCCCUCUGGAGGGCACAGGAAGGAUUAGAAUCUGACUCUCCAGCUAUAUACAUACCUUCCCCAGCCCCUCUCCCACCAUGAGAACUUGCUCCAGAGAGCUGACAAGUCCUUGCUUAUCUCCAGGGACAGGGAACCCACUAUCUCACUGGAAGAGAGCAAACAUGGAGAGCCCGGUCUAUGCUGAGGGCUGUUCAGGCAUUUUCACACACAGUAAUGCACUUCUUUAAUCCUUCCACCAGCCCUGGGAAACAGGCACAUAUCAGUCUUUUUUUAUGCAGAAACUAGAGUUCAGAAAGGUUAUGUAAUUGCCCAAAUCCACACAGCUAGGAAAUGGUGGUAAUUAGGGUAACAUACAUCUCAGUUUGCAUCUGCUGCCCAGGUGUAAUAAUUAAGACAGCUCCCUUUCAUUCUUGAAAGUGCUCCAGUUUAGAAGAUAAAUUAUAAGGAAUCCAGGUCUAUGCUCUUUCCCUGAACAAUCCAACCUCCUCUCCCAACCCCAUUUUUCCAGCCAAAGCCCCAGGGGCUGCCUGCUCAAAACUUCAGGCCCCUGGGGCAGGCCCCAGGGACAGAAGCUGCAGAAUUAUCAGCCAGCACAGCUAAGCUGUGGUUUUUUAUCCAGAAGAGGAAGCGGAGGCUGUGGUCCAGGCCCUCUUGCUCUUCUUAAUAAACUGCUUCUCCUCCUACAGCUUGGAGCUGCUCUGAGCCCCUAAGGCCCACCCUGUGCUUGGGAGGCUCCCAGAGUCCCCACCCUGGCUCUCCUGCUCUGAGCAGCAGCCUGGGUUGGUGGCAGGGGUGAAUCUCACCCAAGCCUGUGCCCCCAUCCUGACAGAGGCCCCUGAGCAGAGGGACAAUGGCCCCUAAGGCCUUUAGUGGAGGCCAGGGUGGAGUCCCCAGGAGGCUCCAGCAGUCACUUCUGACUCAAGGCAGAAAUCACGUCCCCCACGUGGCAUCACAGACAGGAUUUGGAGAAGCAGGCUGGUGGGACGUGCUCGGGGGACCCAAGCCUCUACCGGCCCCUGCUAGGUGCUCCAGGCCAUGGGCCCAGCCCCCGUUUGCUAGGAGUCAAGGGCUCAAUUUCCACAGUUGUGCCAGACACCACCAGAGCUACUAAGACAAGUACCCUUGGCCUUUAGAAAGCUCCUGCCUUUUAAAAAACACUCACUCUCCUGUUCUCCCCACCCCCAGACCGGCUUUCCUCAGCCAGACCCAUGUUCCAUGUUGGCAAGAGAAGAAGGAAGAAGGAAACCGAAUCCCAUAGAGGACAGGUGACUGGACAUCCAGACCCGGUGACCUUCACUGCUCUCAGGACAGGUCUGAAACCCCAGCCUGGAAGGAGGCGUGUUUGAAAAACGAGACCUGCGGCCAGAGUCCCUCUCACGGCUAGCACCCCGGAGCUUCCUCCCCAGCGAGGGGCCCCCAAGCCUCUCGUGACCUGGGGAGCAGGGAUCCCUACUAACCUCAAGACGGAAGCAUCAACCUCUGCGGUGGCCGUGGUUUGACAGUUACUGCGAGAGCAGGCCUCCCACGCCAGCCCCACGAGCCUACCACAUGCAGGCCACACGUGCCCUGCCACGGGGGACCGCCAUCCACUUGUCACCGCCUGGUCCCGGUUCCCAGCCCAGCGGUCCUGCUCCCUUCGCACUCGCUGUGUGACCUUUGCAAGCUCUGUGGCCUUUCUGAGCCUCAACUUCUCAUCUGCACGGUAAACGUAGCCGCUGGCCCUGCCGCCCGAGCUGGUUGCCAGCACCUCUGGUCAGAUGUUCCACAAAUGUUUGCUGGGCCAAACACAGAGACCCAGGCAUGGCCCUGGCACUCGGCGAGGUCACAGUCAGGGAGGGAAACAGCGAUCGCUCACCCCGGGGGAAGGAGAGGAGAAGCAGCAUUGGGGUGUGGGGGUGCUGUGGGAGCCCCCAGGGGAGACCUAAUCCAGUCCAGAGGGCACAGGAAAUGAAGUUUGAGCCUUGGAGAAUGAGUAGGAAUUCAGAACACGAGAAGGACACCCCAGGGAACCGCAGGGGUAAAGGCUGGAGGUGUGAUGAAGCUUGGCCUGAGAGGGGACCUCCCCAGGGUUAAGGACGGGCUGCGGGAGGUGGAGAAGCCAUCCCAGAUGGUCCUGGCUGAGGAGCGGGACCUGUCCCCAGGGAAGGCUCUGAAGCCAGAGAGACGUGAUCCAAUUUGCCUUCGAAAAAUUACUCUGACCCCAGGGUCAGAAAAGGAUUGGAGUGGGUGAGGCCGGACGCCAGCAGACAGGCGGGAGGUUCUUGCUCAUCCAGCAAGAGAAGUAGCAGCUCUCAGGGUAGCAAGGUGACAGGAGUCGACAGAUCCCACUGGCCAAGGAGGGGACAUGGGGCAGGGACAGGGGCUGUUGACAUGCUUUGAAGACAUCCCUGAGAGAUAGCGAUCCCACAUCAGGCAGACCGACAGUCCUGGCCCUUUCCAGGUAGGAGGACGCUUUGUUGCCGGAGGGGUCAAUUUGGGAGCCCCUGGUCCAGGCCCCAGUGCAGCCCCCCUGGGGCCCAGGAUCUCCUGCGAUGUGUGGGGUAUGCAUGCGUGUGCGCAUGAGGGUUCUGUCCAGCCCAUGUUGCCUCCUCUGAGCUUGGCAAGUAAAUCCGCAAAGACCACACCAACACCCCACAAAAAAAUGCCAACUCUGUGCUAACUUAUUUUUUAUAUUUAAGAGCAUGUGAUGAAUGCUCUGCUUAUUGACCUAGAAAGUCAUCCACAGCAUGUUUUUGAGAAGCCGAACAGAGUCCUACCCCUUUGCUGUAAAUCCAUGCCACCCUGCUGCCCAGCCUGGGACCCCAGGUCCCUUGUGGGCUGCAGGAAGGACCAUGCCAUAAGGCACAGCACUCGGCAUUGUAUGUCUCUUAAAUGACAGCUCAGCUCAUUUUUUUUAAAAGGCUACAGAACAACAUGGCUAGUAAAGAUUUUGUCACUUUACCUGUGUGUGUGUGUGUGUGUGUGUGUGUGUGUGUUUAGAUAGAGAGGGUUGCUCACCAAAAUAUUAACAGUAGUAGAAUUGAGAUGAUUUUUACUUUUCUGAAUUGCUUGACUUUUUACAAAAAACUCUUAUCAUUUUUAUAAUCAGAAUAAAGCAAGGGAGAGCCACUCGGCCACCUUGGGGUUUAGCUUUGCUCCAGAAGGGCUGUGGGGUCAGAGCCCCCAGUGGACUAGGAAUAGGCUGUGGGCCUGGAGCAAGCACCCCCUCCCAGGGCCAGCCCAGGGCCAGGACCAAGCGAGGCCAGCAGGCGUCAGUGGAGUUGAACUUGCACAGGGUGCUGAGGCUGGAGUGGCCCUGUGGCCUCUAGGCUGGGGACCCCAGGGUCUGGCCAUCGCCACUGGGGCCACCCUGCCCAUUCCUGAGCAGAAGGCAACACUUCCCCACCUGGCCACCCUUCUCACUUCCAGGGGACGAGUGCCCUGUGCUGGUUCACCUGCCUAGGUGCCAAUGGGGAGCACAGCAGGAGCUCCAGCUCAAGGAGAGGGUGCUGCACGGGGGAAAGGAGAAGGAGGCCCCAGGUGGCCUGCAAGGACCCCCACCCUACAAGUCCUGCCACUCCUUAGCUGAGGUCUGCACUUUGCCCCAGACCGGGGUUCUGGCUGGAAGGACCUAGCACACAGCAGGUGCCUAAUAACAUGCUGGAUGAGUGGGUGAAGGGGCCGCUCUGAAGGCACCUGCCUAGACGGCCCUCCCCAUGAGACGAUGAGAUAGGAGGAUGGGGACGGGGGCCUGGGGCCCACUGGAUCUUAAAAUCCCGCUGCCCACUUGGUACUGCCAGGCCUGUGGGGAGGCUCCCCCCUUACUGCUUCUGUUGGCUUCACCAAGACAAGUGAAAGUUGCCUUCCAGUUGGCCUCAGUAUUCACUUAGAUUUCCUUUUGUAUGUGUGCAUUGAUGCUUUUGAUUAUUAGUGUCUUACUCAUUCUCAGAAAGCUGGCCGAUUUCCCCAUUUAGUGAUUUUCUGAAGUCCACUCACGUGUGGGGAAGACCAGAAUGCAUGGAGGACUUGGAAUUCAAACUAAUCAUCGCUACCUGUGCAGAGCUUCAUCACAGCUGAGAAGGCAGAAGCCUAGAUUUCUGGGAGGAGGGCCACGACUUUCUUCAGAUGGUCAAAGAGGCCAGCACCCCUAAAAAGUUAAGAGACCCUGCCUCAGAGAGACUGAAGAAGGCCUCAGCAGGCUCCCUGGACAGUACAGCUCCUCCCAGGAGCACACAGGGGCUCCCUGAAACCAAGACCCAGGACUGAGCUAGCUCUGCACCUCCUUACCUGAGAGCCAAGCCUUCUCCAAAGUGAGGAGAGGACUCGACACUACAAAAUGGGGAGAACAAAUUAGGAAUUGUGAACACCAGGCAAAAAAGCCUGAUGACAGUUCGCCAUAAUGACCGGCUGCCUGCAAUCUGGUGGGGGAGACAAGCCUUGGGGAAGAGGAAGGGAUCUGCCCCAUCACAGACCAAGCAGAUGGUGUGCUCGGCAGGGUGGCCGGGACAGCUGGAGGAUCGGGCAUGGAGAGGUGUACAGAGUCCAUGGUGCAGCUCAGACUAAAACAGUCGAAAGAGCUGCAGAACAGGGUGAGUGCAGGCUCUGGGGCAUAUCAGCCACGUGAGCCCUUAGCUUCCCUUAGCCUCGCUUUCUCAUCUGAAAAAUGGGAUUUGGUGGGAUGGUGGUAGAUACCUGGCCUGUCUCCUUCUGGGCUUGCUGUAGAGCCAAGAAGCCCGUGCAUGUUGUGAUGGGUUCAAGGUCAGCUGCAGCAGCAGCUGGGGCCUGGGUGGCCUGAGUCUGAAUCCCAAAUUGGCACUUCCUCCCUGGGCGCUCCUGUGUCUAAUGGGGUCAGGAUGGUCCUGCCACAGGCUCGCUUCCUGGACUUCCCAGAGCAUGGCAAGCGCUGGGCAAGCCGUGGCCACCGUCCUCAUUCACACACUCAGCGGGACACCCUCGGGGUCUACUGUCAGCCCCCCCUGUUUUGGUAAGAGCUGUGCAAACAGAGGGCUGGGAUUGAACAACAGAGAGGAAUCCAGGUGGGGGUGGGAGAGGAGGAGGAGGGGGCGUUUAGCAAGGAAAGAGCAGAAAUGGCCCAGAGAGAAAAGCAGUUGCAGCUUUAUUAUGGGGAAGGAUGAGAUUCCUUUUCCCCAUCUCCUCACAAAAAUACUCCAAUCAAGUAUUUCUUGUUUCCCUGUGGAAUGGAUCUAUUCCGAGCUCAGCAGCUCCAUUACAGGAAGCCCGCGCUUCCCAUGCCUUUACAGGAAUCCACCCUUACCGCAACCUGUGAGAGGGUCCUGCUAGUCCCUGAGGCAGCUGAGCCCUGAAACCAGGCAGGUGUUGGGCCCGGGAUUCUCCUCAGGCUGCCUGAUGUCACCAGGCUGGUGGGGCAGGACGAGAACAGGCCAGGGGCUGACAACACCCAGGACACGCUGAGAGCUCGACCCAGCUGCCCAGAGGCUCCUGGCCCAUCCUUUUUUUUUUUGACCAAGUCCCACGGCAUGCAGGAUCUUCCCUGACAGGGAUUGAACCCACACCCCUGCAGUGGAAGCGCAGAGUCUUAACCACUGGACCUCCAGGGAAGUCCCUGGCCCAUCCUCUUGAUGGAGGGUCAAGCUGCACUGCCCUGUCCUGGCCCAUACUGCUCCUGCAGCCCCUUCCCUGGGCAGGUGGGGGACCCUCCCAGAAAGGCCUGACCGACCCUUCUUUAGCCUUGAUCCCAGAUUCCCCACCUAUUCGGAUGCUGCUUCCUCACCAGGACAACUCAACCUGCCACCUGGCCCAAGGUCCUGACCAGGUCCUGGCCUGGUGAUGAGAGCGUGGCUAUGGGACAGUGGGUGAAUGGGGUGAGGCAGGCAUGAGGGGAAGUGGGGUCACUCCUCCUGGGAGGGCUUGGAUUGGUGGUGUGCCUCCUGGCCUGGCCCCCGUCCCCAGUGACGCUCCGGACCGAAUUUCCCCAGGGGAAGGGCCACAACCAUAUAUUCUCUUCAAGGCCCCAAGAUGGGAAGUGAGCUGCUCAUGCCACAGGCAGAGACCUUCCUGCUCUCUGAGGUUGGCUACCCUGAUCCCGAGGCCCCAUAUCUGGGGUUGGAAUUUCCAGUUCUUCAAACCUGUCUGUUCAGUUCUUCAAACCUGUUGCUGACUUGCUACGUGACCUUGGGCAAGUCACUUCCCUCUCUGGGCCUCCGAAUCCUCACCAAUAGAAUGAAUGAUCCAAUAUGCCCACCCACUAGGACAUUCCAAAACUAUGAAAUGUUCAUAGCCAUGUGAUUUUACAUAAUCAGAGACACAUUCCUUUAAUCUGACAAAAAUGUAGAUGGCCCUGGUAAAUGACUCAGCAGUCCUCAACCCUGACCUGUACACCCACAUCACUUGGGAUGGGAAGGGAGAGGUCCCACCCAGACCCACAGAAUCCAAGUCUCUGGGCCUCUAGGCCUCUGGGUGGGCAGGACCUGGAGAUUUGCAUUUGUUAAGAGGCUGCCUAGGAGAGGAUUUCAGACUUUAGAAGGCAGAGUGAGGGGAGAACACAGACUCUCCCUACCCCAGUACCUGACAAAGUGAGCAACAACGACAAGUUAUGAAGAGAAUGAGCCGACAAUCUCCAGAGCAGUGGCCUCCAGGGCCCUCUGUCCUCACGAAUCCUGGGCUGCCUGGGACAUGGGAGUAGGACACAGGCCUGACUGGCUGGGCAGAGGGGGUCUGGGGUGCAGGGUAUGUGAGGGAUGGCAGGAAACAGAAGACCUGUGCCCCCAGCAAGGGUGGCCUCGGUGUGGGGAGUCUCCCCCAGCCCCUGCACAUUUGGGCUCCCAAAAAGCAGACUAAAAACAACACAGCUCUCGAAACCGUCUUUCUGGGGGAAGGCAGCCUGGUUCCCAUGUGAGAAGUGGUGGAGUUGCUAAAUUAACUGAACAAGAUGAAAAGAACUCACAAGGCCACCCUGCCAACUGCCAGGAAGGGGAAGGAAAUCUUAUGAGGGCACGGCUGGGAGGGGAUGGGGCUGAGGAUCAAAGGCAGCUUCCCUGAAACUAAUAGCUUCAGGAGAGAGAAGAGUUAAUGAGAAGAUGAGUCGGAUAUAAAAAGAGCACAGAGGAGAGAUGAUUAAAAAAUAGCAUCAGGGGCUUCCCUGGUGACGUAGUGGUUAAGAAUCCACCUGCCAAUGCAGGGGA